rnacentral:rRNA from 1 species
GAUGAACGCUGGCGGCGUGCCUAAUACAUGCAAGUCGAGCGAAUGGAUUAAGAGCUUGCUCUUAUGAAGUUAGCGGCGGACGGGUGAGUAACACGUGGGUAACCUGCCCAUAAGACUGGGAUAACUCCGGGAAACCGGGGCUAUACCGGAUAACAUUUUGAACCGCAUGGUUCGAAAUUGAAAGGCGGCUUCGGCUGUCACUUAUGGAUGGACCCGCGUCGCAUUAGCUAGUUGGUGAGGUAACGGCUCACCAAGGCAACGGUGCGCAGCCGACCUGAGAGGGUGAUCGGCCACACUGGGACUGAGACACGGCCCAGACUCCUACGGGAGGCAGCAGUAGGGAAUCUUCCGCAAUGGACGAAAGUCUGACGGAGCAACGCCGCGUGAGUGAUGAAGGCUUUCGGGUCGUAAAACUCUGUUGUUAGGGAAGAACAAGUGCUAGUUGAAUAAGCUGGCACCUUGACGGUACCUAACCAGAAAGCCACGGCUAACUACGUGCCAGCCGCCGCCGUAA